rnacentral:pre_miRNA from 1 species
UUUUUAGUAUAAAUAUAUCCCAUGCUAUAUUUGGGAUAUACUUAUACUAAUA